AACUCUCCGGUGGCCUAGUGGUUAGAGCGUGCGCUUUGGAUGCGGGAGGUCGUGGGUUCGAUUCCCGGUCGAGUCA